UACGUAGGGCGCAAGCGUUAUCCGGAAUUAUUGGGCGUAAAGAGCUCGUAGGCGGUUUGUCGCGUCUGCCGUGAAAGUCCGGGGCUCAACUCCGGAUCUGCGGUGGGUACGGGCAGACUAGAGUGAUGUAGGGGAGACUGGAAUUCCCGGUGUAGUGGUGAAAUGCGUAGAGAUCGGGAGGAACACCAGUGGCGAAGGCGGCUCGCUGGGCAGUGGCUGACGCUGAGGCGCGACAGCGUGGGGAGCAAACAGG
rnacentral:rRNA from 1 species